UGCUGUUUCAGAAAAGGAGUAGAGGAGAUGGGCCCUUUCUGAGGAGGAUCCACUCAAUUAAAUCUGACAUCCUAUCAAUCCAUGCAAAAACUCUUGGGUACCACUCUGUGCCAGCCACUGUGGAAGGAAUCAGGGUUCACUUAGGUGAACAAGGCUCCUGAUGUCAUGAAGCUGACAGACUAUGUGGGGGACAGCCAUUAAACAGACAUAAACCAGAUAAUUUACCCUGUGUCACAGACAGAUGAGCAAGACCCUGUUUCUGCCUGCCAGUAAGUGCGCAGAAGACAGAAAAAGCCUGUUCCCAGACUGGCUGUUGUUUCCUGAUGUCCUCAUUGCCUGGGGCAAUGCGGGGGCUGUCCAUCCAUGAGGAGGCUGGCUGGCCUAGAGUCCAAAAGGACGCACAGGAACUAAUUCAAAAACGAAUACAAAUCAGAACCAGGCACCUCCUACCUGUGGGGGAACUGAGUUGGCUUCCUGUUCAUUCAAUGUGAGCAGGAAAACCUUUUCCUUGUGGCCCAGGGAAACUAUCUGUAACUUGUGAUGGUCUUGAACAUCUCAUCGUGAUAGUUGAAUGAGUCAAUUUAGUGGACAGCUGGGGCACCCCAUGUGGAGGGGUGUCCAGGGGUGCUCUGUGUAUUUUCUUUCUUUGAGAAACUAAGAGGGCAGGGACUCUAUGAGGGCUCCACAGGGAAUGCAGGUCCCCAGGUCCCCAUGACACCAUGUGUGGGAUGCAUGUGGCUGGCUGUUCUCCAUCUCCUAAAGGUAAAGGAUUUUCAAGAUAGUCACCUGGCUCUGAGCAGGGGUAAAGAAUGGAGUCAUGAAGCCAUCUGGGAGAGCAACAGCUUUGUGGCUGGUGUCACAAGGCAGAGAGAGCAGCUAAGAUGGGGUCACUACACUGGGAAUCAAGAGAUCUGGUUCCUGUCUCAAGUGUCCCAUGUGGUCACUUAAUCCAUUGUUUGCAGAAAUGGUCACACAAUUCCCCUUCCUGUAUCAAUGCCACUAUAGCAUGACUGUGCAUCUGGCCCGUCUCUGAAUUUUGUCUGGCCUUGUGAUUCACUGUGGCCAAUAGAAUGGAAGGGGAUGGACAGUGGGCCGGUUCUAAACUCAAGUUUUGUGCCCUUCCACUCUGGCUCUCCAAACCCUGCCAAUUUAGCCUCCUGGAGGAUGAGGCAAGUGGCCCAGUCACCUUGGCACUCAGCUGGCACUAGCCUACCCUUGAGAACAGAGCCACUUCACUCACCUACAGUCCACCACACUGCAUAUUCAUUAGCUAAAUCAAUGGUAGUAGUUUUAGACCCCUAAUUUGAGGGUAGUUACUAUACAGCCGUAGCUAACUGAUACAAUGACCUUCGAUAAUAAUAGUGACAGCUAUCAUUUGAAGUGGACCUACUGGAUGCCUGGCCCAGUUCCAAGUUCUUGACAUAGACAACCUCAUUUAAUUCUCCCAGCAGCUCUGAGAGUUGGUAUUCAGAUCCUCACUUCAUAGACAAGUAAAUGGAGGCUUGGAGAAGAUGUGCGCCUCAUCUAUGAAGGCCUAAAGAAUAAGAGGAACCUAAAGAACAAGAUUAGAACCUCAAGUCUGUCUUCAUGGACUCGUCCUGAAUCUCCUUCCCAGACAAGCCUCAAUGUCAGAGAAAGCCAGCAGCACUAGAGAGUGUGUCAUGUAUUCUGCGCACAGGAGCUGAUGUCAUUAAGAAUGUUCUCAGCCUUCCAUUCCCCAAGAAUUAUGCCAUAUCUCACCCUGCUCUUCUCUCACCCUGAGCCAAUGCCUCUAAUUCCAGUGGGCUUUUAGAAAGAAAAAGGCACAGAUAAUGGAAUCAUUUAUUUCUUUUUUAUUACCCUUUCUAUUUAAUCAGCAAGUAUAUGUAUUAAGGACCUGUAAGUAUGCCUGUUGCCAUAGUGUUCUUUCGUUUGUGACAUUUCCUGGAGCCCUACUGUGUGCCAGGCCCUCAGUGUCUGUAAUCCUUACAGCAACACUGGGGUCAUUAAGAUCAUCCCCAUUUUAAAGACAGGAAAACUGAGGUUCUAGAGAAGUGAAGUGGCCAUGCUGAGGCCACCUAACUAGUAAGUGGUUAGGACAGGAUUCCCUUCUAGGUUUGGCUCAAGUCAGGCAAGGCCUCUUCUUACUCUAUUAUUACAACUGUGGGUUUUUAAAAAAGGGAUUUUGAAAUUUCCUCUGGGUUCUGUGUAUAGCAGGUAGGGGGCUGGGAGGCUGAGAGGAGAAAGAAAGGGUAGUGCAGGUGUUAGAAAAUGUUCCUUGACUCCAGGAGCUGACGGCCUCCCUGCCAUGAUGCUCAGGCUGUGGGUAGUGAUGUGAGUGAGAGCAGGCCAGGAGCAGGGCGUGGAGAGGUAACCACGGGCUCCAGCCUGCUCUCCUCGUGUCUGCAGUUGACAAGCCACAGCCAUCCUUUAUCCUCACCGCCAGCCCUGCCCCUCCCUUUAGCCGCUGGACUGCAGCCAUCCACCAGCACCAGGCACUGGGCACCAUGCCCUUCCCCUCCUGGCUGUGCUGUUUACAAGUGUGGGAUUCAGGGACAGUCUGGGCUAUCUUCUCCUCCCAGAAGAUCACACUCCUGGGAUGGAGGCUUAGCUUCAGGCCUCUCAAGACUCUCUGAGUCCAGCCCCUGCCAAGGCUGCCUUCUCCAGGCUGGCAGCAGGCCCCACCCAGGAGCCCUUGCCAAUCAAAAUCGAGCUGCAAGAAGCCUUUGCCUGGCUCAGGGGCUUUAGCAGGUGUGUGCGUGCGAGCAGGAGGGGUACAGAGGUGAGUGGCUAAGAGGCCUGAGGGUCGUCUAGGCAUUGGGGGCCUGGUAUCCCACAGCCACUCAUGGCUGCCUUCCCCUGGGGCAAUGUGGUUGCUGGGAAGAUCCCUGCACUGGCUGAGAAGCUUAGACAAGUCACUCAACCUCUCUGGACCCCCUAUCUCCUCAUCUUUCAAUUGGACGAGAAGUCUCGCAGCCACAUACUGUACAGACACUAAAAACUAACAUUUAGUAAGUGCUUGGCACUUUGCACACAUUAUCUUAGUCAUUCUCCCAAACAACACUAAGACCUAAGAAUCCUUAGCAUCAUCCCCAUUUUAUGGAUGAGAAAACAGGCUCAGUGGGGUUAAAUAACUUGCCCAGAGUCACAGGUGGUGAGUGGGUGGCCAGGGACUCAGCCUCAAGGUUGCUGGCCUCCUUUGUUGAGGGAGGUGACACUUACAAAUGCCUGGACAUCCUGCCAGAUCCAUCAGCUGCUGGUCAGGUGGUGCUCCCACACUUGCCUGCCUGAUGUCGCACGAUGCUGCCCCCCUAGAACUCCCUUGGUGCCCUAAGCUCAUCUGCUGUGCUCUCCCCUCAAAAGUGAGUACUGCUUGCUUCUCUGGCCUCAGCUCCCUCUGUUCUUUGCCUAACCCUGCCCCUCCUUCAGAUCAGCCUUCUGGGAGCUUCCCUGACCACACCCAUAUACAGCACGGUGGCCUUGCUGUUCCUUCCCACGGCUUCCUCCUCCAGAGGCAAUACACACAACCCUGUCUCCUGUCUGCCCACACAGAGGCCACAGGUUCAGAUCCAGACUCUGCCCUCCCAAGAGAUUCUCCUCCUCCCUUCCCAGAUGCCUGUAUGGCCUAGCCCAGGCUGGAGUAGGACAGGAAAGGCAAGAAAAGGAGGUGUCAGGCUGAGGAAGGCAUCAGGUCUGGAGCUGCUGGGCCAAAAGUUGAGCCCCUUGGAAAUUACAGCACCCAGAACAGUGCCUGGCACAGAGGAGAUGCUGCAUGAAAAUCUGUUGAGUGAAUGGAGCAAAGGAAUGAAGCACCAGCUUUGAACUUGAAAACCCUACCAUGCGUGUCUCAAGGCAGGAGUACAGAGCUGGCCACAAGAGGACUCUGAUGGAGAAGCAUUAAGGCUCUGACUGCAAAUGCCCCAUCUGCCUUGCCCAUUGGUGGAGCCUGAGAUGCCUUCACCCAGGUGUUCCAGCAACUCCACAUCUUUGUAGCUGUGAUGUAAUGGAAAAAGCACUGGAGAUCAGCAAAGGAAAUCAGAAAAUGAGGCUGGAAUUUCAGCAACUCUACUCAUUUAUUUCAUUCAUCGCUCUAACUCUAAGUAGCAAUGCUGUCUGUGCUGGGCACUGAGCUAAGCGCCACAACUAAAAAGGCAAUUGAGACCCAGUCCACACUCUGGAGAAGCUCAGAACUACUUGGAGAUUCCCUGCUUUCUACAGGAACUUUGUGCACUAAGCACUGUGUAUGUGUGAUCUAUUGAAUACUUAAGUAAACAAAUGAAUCCUUAAUUAUAAUGCAAUGUUGUAGGAAUCAUAAAUGAGAAAUUAAUGAACUACAAGUAUUCCAUUAUAAAAUAUAAGUAUAUAAAAUUAAAUACUAAAUUAAUUAAAUAUGAUUGAAGAUGAUAUUUUAUGUUGGUUAGAAGUAUAGGCUA